rnacentral:rRNA from 1 species
UACGAGGGGUGCAAGCGUUAUUCGGAAUUAUUGGGCGUAAAGGGUGUGUAGACGGUUUGUUAAGUCGAUUGCUAAAUUCUCUGGCCUAACUGGAGGCGUGCAUUCGAUACUGAUUUACUAGAGUAUGAAAGAGAGAAGCGGAAUUCUCGGAGUAGCGGUCAAAUGCGUAGAUCUCGAGAGGAACAUCAAUGGCGAAGGCAGCUUCUUGGUUCAUUACUGACGUUGAAACACGAAAGCGUGGGGAGCAAACAGG